GGCUGAUGCUAUUCCCUCAGCCAGACAUUAACAGCCUCCCAGGGAUGUCUGCAGCCUAACACCCAGAAUGUGUGACUGUGUUCUCCUGCCUGGUGAAAGGAACUUCGCAGGUGUGAGUAAGGGGAGGAUCUUGAGAUGGGGAAAUAUUAUCCUGGAUUGUCCGAGUGGGCCCAAGUAAUCACAAGUUUCCUUAUAAGGGAAAAAGGAGGCAGAAAAGGCAGAGUCAGAGAGAGAGAGAAGACGCUAGGCUGCUGGCUUUGAAGACGGAGACUGGGGCCACAAGUCAAGGAAUGUACAUGGCCCCUAGAAGCUGGAAAAAGCAAGGAAAUGGAUUCUUUCUAUGAUCUUCCAGAAGGGUCACAGCCCUGCCAACCCAUUCUAGACUUCUGACCUCCAGAACUGUAAGGUAAAAAUUUUGUGUUGUUUAAGCCACUAAGUUUGUGGUAAUUUGUUACAGCAGCAGUGAGAAACUACUACACCACCUAACCUGCAAGAACCAGUGAAAACCAGCUCAUGCAGGAUCUCUUUCCUGAUUCCUCCCGCUGAAUUUCACCUCUGCAGGACUGAACCUAUCCCUCUUUUGGACUUCUUUUAAUAACACUUACCUUACUUGAUAGUAUAAUGUAAGCAAAUGUUUGCUUCUCUUACCCCCUUUUUAGAAAUAAGUAAUAGAAACCCAAUGAAAACUAGUUGAAGCACAAGGAGAAUUUAUUGAGUCAUGUGAAUGAAGAGUCCACAGAUGGAGCUUCAGGGUAUGUCCCUGUCACGGAACCAAUUCCUGUGGUCAAGGGAGUGGAAGUGGCUCUAAUAGGCCAGGCUGGGGUCAGAGUAAGAAUGACCAGCUCAUCCUGAUUUGCCUGGGACUUUUCUAGUUUCAACGUUAGAAGUCCCAUGCCCCAGGAAACCCCUCAAUUUAGGGCAAAAUGGGAUAAGUGGUCACCCUAGGAGUCCAUGCUGGAGACGAGAGGAGUUGUGGUCAGCCCCACCUGACGCCCAUGACUAAGAAAGGGCUGAUUUCCUAGAGGAACCACCAAAAGAAGGGAAAAUGAAUGCUGGGCAGGCAAAGAAACAGAGUGAGGUCCUCGCCAUUGGCCUUUCUGGACCAGAGGCACCUUGAGGCCCUGCACCAAAUCUUACAGAUUUUGUAUCUUUUAAAAAAUUGCACAUACUGUCUUCCACAUAAGCCUCAAAAAAAAAUUUCUACUGUUGCUUGCACAACUUUAUUCAACGCUUGAAAAAACUCCCUUAGAGUGAAGAAUUUGUAACACUAAAUAGUUCUUGAUGGUUAAUACAGAAUCACUUUUAACAAAAGCAGUUAAAAAUAGUUUACGGUCCACUUGACUGAGAUUAUUUAAAUAAUCUUACUUUAUUUUACUUACUAAAGUAAUCUUACUGAAAAUGGGGUGGGUAGAGAGUUUUAGUUAAAUGAACUUCCAAAAUUACUCAAGUACUAUGAUUCAUAAGGUCCCUUCCCCCCUUAUAUUUAAGAUAAAACCUGUAUUAUGUUUUCUUUACAUUAACAGCUAAUAAUUAUUAAAAAGUGAAACUUACCC
ensembl:lncRNA